GGAUAGCUCAGUGAGUUAGAGUAUGGUGCUGAUAACGCCAAGGUUGCAGGUUCGAACAUCGUAUGGAACA